rnacentral:rRNA from 1 species
CCUACGGGUGGCAGCAGUGAGGAAUAUUGGUCAAUGGUCGAGAGUCUGAACCAGCCAAGCCGCGUGAAGGAUGACUGUACAGUGUAUCGUAAACCUCUUUUAUCAAGGAAUAAAACGAGGCACGCGUGCCUGUUUGCGUGUACUUUAUGAAUAAGCAUCGGCUAACUCCGUGCCAGCAGCCGCGGUAAUACGGAGGAUGCGAGCGUUAUCCGGAUUUAUUGGGUUUAAAGGGUGCGGAGGCGGGUUGUUAAGUCAGCUGUGAAAGGUUGGGGCUCAACCCUAGAAUCGCAGUUGAUACUGGCAGUCUUGAGUACGAGUGAGGUAUGCGGAAUGCGUGGUGUAGCGGUGAAAUGCUUAGAUAUCACGAAGAACCCCGAUUGCGAAGGCAGCUUGC